rnacentral:rRNA from 1 species
AGUCGUAACAAGGUUUCCGUAGGUGAACCUGCGGAAGGAUCAUUAAUGAAUUUUAGGACGUUCUUUUUAGAAGUCCGACCAUUUCAUUUUCUUACACUGUGCACACACUUCUUUUUACACACACUUUUAACACAUUAGUAUAAGAAUGUAAUAGUCUCUUAAUUGAGCAUAAAUAAAAACAAAACUUUCAGCAACGGAUCUCUUGGCUCUCGCAUCGAUGAAGAACGCAGCGAAUUGCGAUAAGUAAUGUGAAUUGCAGAAUUCAGUGAAUCAUCGAAUCUUUGAACGCACCUUGCACUCUUUGGUAUUCCGAAGAGUAUGUCUGUUUGAGUGUCAUGAAACUCUCAACCCCCCUAUUUUGUAAUGAGAUGGGCGUGGGCUUGGACUAUGGUUGUCUGUCGGCGUAAUGGCCGGCUCAGCUGAAAUACACGAGCAACCCAAUUGAAAUAAACGGUUUGACUUGGCGUAAUAAUUAUUUCGCUAAGGACGUUUUCUUCAAAUGUAAGAGGUGCUUCUAAUUCGCUUCUAUAGCAUUUAAGCUUUAGACCUCAAAUCAGUCAGGACUACCCGCUGAACUUAAGCAUAUCAAUAAGCGGAGGAAAUAAAAGUCG